GAGUUUGAUUCUGGCUCAGGAUGAACGCGGCGGCGUGCCUAACACAUGCAAGUCGAACGAAGAAUUUUUUGGAAGUUUUCGGAUGGAAGAAAAAUUACUUAGUGGCGGACGGGUGAGUAACGCGUAAGUAAUCAACCUACAACACACGAAUAACUAAGAGAAAUCUUAGCUAAUACGAGAUGAAGUAAGUAUAUCGGGAGAUAUAAAUAUGAAAGCUGAGGCGGUUGUAGACGAGCUUGCGUCUGAUUAGCUAGUUGGCAGGGUAAGAGCCUACCAAGGCGACGAUCAGUAGCCGGCCUGAGAGGGUGAACGGCCACAUUGGAACUGAGAGACGGUCCAAACUCCUACGGGAGGCAGCAGUGGGGGAUAUUGCACAAUGGGCGAAAGCCUGAUGCAGCAACGCCGCGUGAGCGAAGAAGGCUUUCGAGUCGUAAAGCUCUGUCGUAUGGGAAGAAAAAAAUGACAGUACCAUACAAGAAGCCCCGCA
rnacentral:rRNA from 1 species